CAAUAAAGAAAGUCAUGACAAUUGGAAAAUUUCAGCCGUUAGUGAAUUUACUAAAACGUCAUCGUUCAAGAUCGUUGUAUCAUUUGAUUAGACCAAUCGUUCUUUCUCACGCGUAGAAAAAUUGUUUCUCUUUCCUGAUUGGCUUAUGUACAUUGCCAAACAAGUUUUUGAGACAUUCUAAUUAAGUUUAAUUAUUCUUCCAAUUUUUACACUUAAUUAAUAAUGCCGUCUUAUGAUUUUGCAUGUCAUUUGACAUGACGUAUAUUCAUUUUUUUGUUAUUAUUUUUUAAAAAGCUUUCACUGGAU